AAAUAUAGUAACAUAGAAGAACCUUUUCAAAGUCAGGCUUGUGUGCCUGUCUCAUCAGUACCAGCUAACUGUUUCAUCUCUCUUGAAUGUCACAGAAGCACACAAACUCUGCCACAAUGCAGUUUUUGAGAUAAAUAUUCUCCCUCAAAGGACAAUGCACGUGUUACAAGAGCUCUACAUGCUGUGUUAAGUUAAACACACUAAGAAAACAAAGCACUAAUUCUAUGUGGAAGUCAUCCCCUAGGAAAACAAUGAGAAGAACUAUGAACCACACCUGACAGAUGUUAGUCACAGCUCAGUUUACUGUGGAAUGACACUUAUGCUCGUUGGUAGAAAAGGAACAUAAUAAGCUACAUAUAAUAGAAAAGAUUUUUGUCUUGCCAGGUGUAAAUGUUGAGAUAACAUUGCACAAUCCCUUCAGCUGGUGGGACAAGCUGAGCAGGGAUAAAUGGUGGAGACAGAAUUGCUCCAGGGAAUGCAGCUGAGCAGUGGGGCUGGGGGUAGUGCUGAUGUUAACCCACAGGCUUGGAGCUCCAUGUAGAACAGAGUAUCUGAGAUGCUACUAGAGGAAAAAAAGAAGUCUAGUAAUUGAAGUGGUCUGGAAAAAUUAAAUCUCUCAGAUGUAGACUGGAAAAUAUUUAGGUUGUAUUAUUUCUCUGCAGACUUACUCACUAAGGUUGCAUUAAGUCAUCCAUAGCGCUGUUUCAUACCUGAUGUUAACAAAUCAGCUGCUAUAGAAGGACUUGUCAUAACAGAUGACUGUGCAGUAACUGAUCGUGACCUUUUUUUACUUAAAUUGUAUGUCUAGAUAAAGAAAACCAAGAUUACAACUACGAGUACCUGAUUUCAGAAGGCCAAAGUUGGAUGAACUAAGGGAUUGCUUUAAUGAUCAGAAAUGAAAGCCGGACAAGAGAAUUCAAAGACUUGAAAAUACUCUUUUUGUAAACCAGAUGGAUGCAGCAGUUAGAUCAUAACCUACAUUGAAGAAGUUGGAAAGAAAUUUAUUUAAAAAAAAAAAAAUGACAGUUAAUCUAAGAUUUUUAUAGUGUCAUAUUGUAGAACAAAUUCAAAAGGAAACAUUAAUUUAAGAUCUGGAGAUAAAUAUAAGAUACAUAGAUAAUGGGAUAAAAGGCAACCUGUAUUUACCAGAAAGAGAUUAAACAUGAAAAAUUUGUAAGUGUAUUUGAGACAGAGUGGUUCUCAGGGGAAGAUUAAUGUAGCAGAUUAUAUUCGCCUGGUCUUUGAUGAAGCAGGUGAACUGGUACUACUUGGACUACUGGUGGUUCUGCUAGAAGCUAGAGGUGAAUGAGACUAGUGGGUCAAAGUGUAUGUGUGCUGAGUAUGAGCUAUCAAAACUUACAGACAGAGCCAAACUAUUCAUGCUUUAUGUAAAAGUAGAUUCAAAAUAGUUCCUUAUGAAGAUAUGGGGAAGAAGGCCCAUCCUGCAUUAUAUGCUGACAGUCCACAUUUACCACUGUUAAUUAAAUACACUUGUGGCUCAAAAUAAGCCUCAUCCAAGGCUAUCAUGCCUUUGCACUGUUCCCAAUCUUCUACCCUCUCCCUGCAUCUAUAGAAAGGCUUGGGCUGGGGGUUAGGGUUAGGAUUUCCAGCUUCAUGGCUGGAAAGCAGUCAGCAAAUUUGAGGGAGCUGACAAUGUGCACUUUAGACCAAGUGAAAUGAGGUGAAACCUACCCUUAGGAAUGAAUAGAACCAUCUGCCUUGAGAUAGCAGCUCUUCAUUUGCUUCCAAUUAAAGAGGGGGAAAAUUCUGGUAUAUGAGAUGACUCUAAGCUGCCAGCAUGAUGGAGCCGUGAAAUGGGCAAAUGAGAUUUGCUCAGCCUACUGAAAUGAAAGCUGAGGGGGAAUCUGAUUGCUGUCGAUUAAUUGGGAAGUAAAUGGCAGGGAAGGGGGGAAUGUGUAGCAGGUAAAGGAGCAAUGAGUAUCAGCUGCAGGUGAAUACAUUGAGGUUGUGAAUUAAAAUAAUGCUACUAACCAAGACAAAAUGAUGCAAAAAAGCCUCCGCUGGAGAAGGGUUUUCUCGCUGUCAUAACCUUCCCCUCCGGACUUCAGAAAUCCACCCAUUCUGCCACAUGUAAGUUCCCAUCAUGGAUCAAGGACUUAUCCAGUAUGAACCUGGCUUAUACCCCAGCCACCACCAGCUGAGAUACCGUCCUUACGGGAUGCUCUCAUGUCUCUGAGAAGAGAGAUGCAGAUCUGAACUAAGGUCUGAACUGAGCCUGACAUGCGUAGUCCCGUGCAAAUCUUUCUUUUUGGCUGAACACACUCAGUCCCUCAAAUCCCCAUUUGUCACUUAAAAGAGGUAAAAGAGGAGUAAGUCAUUCCUUCCAGGGGUGGCACCUCAGGCAGCUUGUUCAUUUUGGCUUGUGAAGUUCUUCCUAAAAGUGGCUGAUCAAAUCCUUGAGAACUUUCUCACAACUUCAUAAGGUACAGUUAUGGACAAAAAAGAUUAGGUCUCCUUUUUUAGCAGUCAAAAGAAUUUGCUGCAUUUUCACGUGUUUCUGUUCAGUUGAUUGGCUGGCUGGUUGAUUGGUUGUGGGUUGGUUGUUGGGUUUGGGGCAUUUUUUCUAUUGUUUUGUUUGUUUGUUUUCUUUGUGUUUAUUUGUUUUCCAGCAGAGUGGAAAAGAGUGUGGACUUUUCAGCAUGCAUGCUUCAAAAUAAAUUUAAGACAGAGAUUAGCCAAAUGAUCUGGACAAGUCAUCUGCUCUAUUUUCUGGGGCAACCCAGCCCACAGGGGUUUAUCCAAGGAGCCCUUAUUAAGUCAAAAAAAGGAGUGUUGCCCUGAAGAGGUAUUUUGGAAAGAUACCUUUACCUGACAGUGGGCUUUCUCAAUCAUUUUACAAACAAAACCUUCUGGAUUUUUGCAUGUGUCUGACUGUUUCAACCUCCAGCUGUUAAUUCUUGUUUAUCUCUUUUGGAUAACAAUAUCCAUCGGAAACAAAUGUCUUCAUCUGAAGGUCCCCUGCAUUAUAACCACGUUAGCACCAUGAUCUGCUUCUAAUGAAUUAAGUAGACUGAGCUUUUCCUGUCUCUCAGGUGAAUACCUCUGACCAGAUGUGAUCUUCUACCCAACAGAUGGCUGUACAGCACUACUCACCAUCGUCUCCCUUUGAAGGCAGCGCGGAGAAAUGAGUCCUUCCAGAAUGAAAUUCAUCUAAUUCUAAAGUGGAUGUUUGAAAACAGGCUAGAUGAAUGUCCCUCACAGCAUUUCUAUUUCUCUCUAGCAACAAUCAAGGAAGCCUGUGGUGACUACCUCUUGUGUCAAAGCCUGCAUUGUAGACUUCUGUAUUUAAGUAAGAUGGACCUCUCUUUCCAGCUGUGAUUUUUCCAGCUUCAAAUCAUUUCCUUCCUCACACAAAUGAGACUUAGAAACAUCUUGAGCAGAUGCAUGACUUUAAUAUCCAUGUAUGAGGAUACUCCCACUUAAGUGCUGGGGCUGCAUACUGGGGCAGUUGACUGAAAAUUUGGUGAGGGACGUAUAGCUGGAUUUCAAAAUACAUGUUGCCCACAGUCUGCAUUUUGUGUUAUUUGUACUUUCUGAGUGAGGAGUAUGUGGCAAGAAUGAGACAACACCUUAAUAUGUAUGGUCCUCCUAGAAAAAGACUAGGUUAUGUAACGAUUAAUCUUGGUAUUUUUGUUCUAUAUGUUUUCCAUUUUUUCUGAUAUUAGCAUCCCCUGUAGCACCACAGUUCCUUUCAUCCAACUUGGUUUUCUAGCAUCAGCUGCUCAGCUGUAUCUGAUCACACCAGGCUCAGCCACUAGUCCAGCCAGCCAGCUGCCAGAUUUUCUUUUUUUAAAUAAAUACAAACAUCUGUCGAGUUGUAAAGCAGAGAGCAAUGAAUCCAACUUUGUUUUUUUUUUUUUCUCUCCGACUUGAAGAAGACAACCAAAGAAUUGCACAGUCUCUGCAACAAAAGACAAAGGAUUCAUGUAGUUGGACAAGUUCCCUUUAUUUUAAACCAGAUGAGUUUAAGCGUCAGUGUGUUGCCCAUCACUCUCAUAGAGUUUUAUUAGGUCUACAUGAAAGAAGUAAUGUAAAUCCUUUCUCUUGACCAACAGCCCUGUUUAAGCUCUUCUGUGAUAAAUAUUAUCACUAUUACAUGACUAUUGCUUACUCACCUGGGCAGCAGCCACUGCUCAGUAGGAAAUUACGUAAGUGUUGCUGGCAUGGAGAAAUGAGAAUUUUUUUCCCAUCCUGCUGGAGGUCUUCUACCACAAAUCAUAGGAACAGCUCAGGUGUGCCCUACUUCUGUCUGUCCCUCCCCCUCUGUCUUGCCUAAUGUCUCCCCGUCCCUGCCUUCUCCUCUCUCACACAUUUACUACCCCUGACUGCAGGCACUUUUAGGAAAAUGGACAGCACUUCUGAAGCAUGAUUGCCAUUUUUUCUUACCUGUGGCUGUGCCCCUAAAAAAUGCCCAGGUCAUGCUGUAGAACCAAGCUGUAGCCUAGAUUCACUAUGUUGUUUCUCAUCAGCUUCAUCUUUACCUGUAAAAUAGUCCAAUACAUACAGUGAAGGCAGAUUCCACUAUUUUCAAUGUGCUUGUACCAUGGCUUUCUUUUUGGGAACGCAAGAAUGGAUCAUAGCAGAGAUUCCUCAGGAAGAAUUGUAUUUCCUUAACUUCCACUGCACACCAUUGUGGUCAGUGAGCCGAGGUGAUGCAGGUGAGACCACAAAACCUGCCUGCAGAUCCCUCUGCAUUGUUGUAAAGGUGAUUUAUAUCCAUUUAGUUGCAGUCAGUAGGGAUCAGCAUAGGUUAAGUCGAUACAGCGUGGGCUCCAAUUGAUUCGGGAAGGUUCGCGCAAUGGGUUGUGCUGGCUUAAAUAAUCAUUUUUAAGAUGUUCGUUGCCUUUAGUUACAAACUGGAACAUAAGCCAAUUCUGGUGCUACAGAUAAAACAAGUUUUUAGUGGUGUUUCACUGCAAAGCCACCAAGGAAUAGGCAAAAGUGAAAAUCUUGUGGGAAAAAUAUGAGUGUUAAAGGCGUGAAAUAUUCAGCAAGAAUUCCAGCCUUGUCUGGAAUUUUGAAACUAAUCUUUGCUUAGCUAAUACAAUCCUGCAUUUAAAAUAAAUAAAGUAAAAUGUAGGGCGUUCUUUUCUGCCCUUAUUUUUCUGUCUUCUAUGUAUAUCAAAAGACUUUUAUAAUCAUCUGGUUGCAACAUCUCACAAACAAUCCUGUGACAAUUGGAAUAAUGCUUCCUAGAGGAUUAAGGAAAUUUGAGGAAAGAAUCAUCGCUUCGUGUGGGAACAAUCAAAUACUCAUUGCAGGCAUCUUUGUUCCUUAAUCUUAAUUUCUUUGUGCUGGUACCUUGAUUUGUUUCUCAAAUUUAACAGAGAAGGGUAUGAAGACACUAAAAAUCUAAAAUUACAAUGUAACCAUAUGGAAAUAUUAAGUUUAGGAAGCCUAAGCACUUAAACCAACUGUUCAGGGUAUUUUCCCCUUAAUGUGCUUACAUAAAUCACAUUAGUUUUUAUGAGAGUUAUUUUUCAAAUUUAUAGACUUUUUCAGAUGGAUCUUCGGCUCCCAAGGUAGCAUAUGCAGAAGCUGAGUGUGUUCUGCAAACUGAAGAGGAUGGAGUUCAAAUUUAAACUCUGACAUUGUUUUUGUGGAUGCCAUUGGAUGCAUGUUACGACUGGACUUUUGGAAAUAGCUUUUUUUUUUAAUGCACAGCUAUAGAAAGCUAAAUUAUCAUUUCUGAAUACCAAGCACUCAAAUUACUUAUAUAAUGUGCAGUAUUUAUGUGGUAGCUUUAGAAUAGGUACAUGCGAUGUCUUCAUCUCUAACAAGACCUGAAGGGGAAAAAAUCAUUGCCACUACCUGAGCAAAUACUGUGCAUCAGAACUGCUGUCUGUCGUGUGCUUCUCACUGGUGUUUCACUGAAAUUCCCCAUUUCUGGAAAUAGGUGGUUUGGGGAAGAUCAAGUAAGUUAGAAGAAAAGCAUAUUUCUAGCUUUGAUGAGUGUACUGAAUGUGCCCAGAAGGUUCAGAAAGCAGAAGGCAUAUAAAAAGUUUGCAACAUUUAUUACAGCAUUGAAUAAAAAAAUAUCUUAACAUCGGUUUGGGGAUUUGGGGAUGGACUAAUUCAUGGGUUUUGAAUUUGGCAUUCUUGUGAAAAUCAGCGAGAAUCUCCAGAGUGCAAUCAAUGCAUGGCAAAGCUUCCACCUCACCCACAUCAUGUGUCCCCAGCGCGGCUUACUGCAGCCCUUUGAGCUGUCUGGUAGCUCCACGCAGUGCUGCAGAGACUCAGAGGGAGAGGCAGUGCCCAUGGCUCACAGCACAUCAAGGGAGAGGCUUCAGCUGCUCAGCUUGCAGCCAAGAAGCAGAAGCCAAGUCAGAUGGAGAUCAGGCUCUGUGCAGCUCAUGCAUCCUGCCAGUUAAACCAGAUUUUACCUCAGAGAUCUUUAAGCUCACCUUACACCACCCUUUCUGCACCACUCCAAAUGCAGGCAUGGGCAUAGGUUGUGAAGGCACAGCUCCAAUUAUAUUUCGUAGAAUCAUAGAAUCAUAGAAUCCUUAGAGUUGGAAGGGACCUCUGAGGGUCCUCUAGUCCAACUCCCCUGCAGUGAACAGG